CAAAACCAAAACAAAAGAAACCCGAUCCCAAAAUUCCCAAUCUCCUCUUUCUCCUCUGCCUCGAUCCCAAUCUCCUCCGCCUCAAUCCCGAUCCCAAUCUCCUCCGCCUCCUCCUCCUCCUCCGCCUGAAGUCACCGCCUCCGCCACCUCAAGUCGCCGCCUCCGCAGUUGGGUCGGAGGUUGAUUUUUGUGCGGAUCUGGUGCGGUUUGAUCCGCAGUUGGGUCUUGUGGAGUUCGCGGUGCCUUCGAUUGUGAUUGUUGGGUCCUUGGUGGAGUUUGUGGGGGUUUCGUUGCUUUUGAUUCAGAUUAACUGAAGAUGAAGAAUUUAAAAGAGUGGUUUUCCUAUGAGCUAUUGUCUAAAUCAUUACUAUCUGCAAGGCCUUUCAGCUUCUUUUAUGAGGAAUCACUGGAUGGUGAACUUGGCAACCGAGGAGAAAUAUUGAGGUCUCUAUGGUGAUUUCGGAUUCUAACCCUUGCUAUGAAGACGCACAUAUGAGGCUUGCUGCAGUACUUUUAAUGUUGCUAUUGAGUCCAACUGAGUGUUAUGUUUGUUUCCUGGUCUUUUCUUUCUUCUGUCAUGAUCAUGUUCAUGCCUGAACAUUUGAAAGAUGGGAAAUAAGUGGACUAUGGUUGUGCUACUAUUUUGUUUAUAGACGAACUUACUACUCUUCUAGUUUAUCAAGUAAUUAAGUAGAUUGUCCUUACUAA